UACGUAGGGCGCAAGCGUUGUCCGGAAUUAUUGGGCGUAAAGAGCUCGUAGGCGGUUUGUCGCGUCUGCCGUGAAAGUCCGGGGCUUAACCCCGGAUCUGCGGUGGGUACGGGCAGACUAGAGUGCAGUAGGGGAGACUGGAAUUCCUGGUGUAGCGGUGAAAUGCGCAGAUAUCAGGAGGAACACCGAUGGCGAAGGCAGGUCUCUGGGCUGUAACUGACGCUGAGGAGCGAAAGCAUGGGGAGCGAACAGG
rnacentral:rRNA from 1 species